GCAAACUUGGUCAUUUAGAGGAAGUAAAAGUCGUAACAAGGUUUCCGUAGGUGAACCUGCGGAAGGAUCAUUAAAGAAUAACUUGGUCGGGCUGUUGCUGGUUUCUUCGGGGACAUGUGCACGCCUACCGCCAGUUUUUCCAACACCUGUGCACGUUUUGUAGGCUGGAGCAAACAUUGACUCGAGGUCAACUUGGGUCGUUUAGGACUGCUGUGUGUAAUAAUGCCAGCUGUCCUUAUAUUGUUCUUUUAGCCUAUGUUUUUACUAUACUCCACAUGAAUGUAACAGAAUAUAUUUGAUAGGUCAUUAUUAAAUGCCUUUAAAUGUAAUACAACUUUCAACAACGGAUCUCUUGGCUCUCGCAUCGAUGAAGAACGCAGC
rnacentral:misc_RNA from 1 species